UACGGGGGGGGUAAGCGUUGUUCGGAAUUACUGGGCGUAAAGGGCUCGUAGGUGGCCAACUAAGUCAUACGUGAAAUCCCUCAGCUUAACUGGGGAACUGCGUGUGAUACUGGAUGGCUUGGAUUUGGGAGAGGGAUGCGGAAUUCCAGGUGUAGCGGUGAAAUGCGUAGAUAUCUGGAGGAACACCGGUGGCGAAGGCGGCAUCCUGGACCAACACUGACACUGAGGAGCGAAAGCCAGGGGAGCAAACGGG
rnacentral:rRNA from 1 species